GGCCCAGUAGCUCAGUGGUAGAGCACUGCACCAGAAAGGCAGGGGGGCCAGGUUCAAAUAAUUCAAUCCCUGGCUCGGCC
rnacentral:tRNA from 1 species